rfam:Nicotiana sylvestris Nsyl_contig124146, whole genome shotgun sequence.
CAGCGAGCUUUGCCCAAUGAAAUACUUAUCGAAUGUCAUGAGUUCAAAUAAGUGUUCAUCGGACAGAGGUUGCUG